UGGGAUGAAAGAUGGCUUGCUGUCGAACCCCUUAUAAGACAACGUCAAGGAAUUAUUAUUGUUGAGAGCAUUUUCUAUCUUCUUGUCUAGUUGCUAGCCGAGCAUCUGGAACCGCCUUUCGAUGUCAAGAUCUCGGACGAUGCAGGUCUCGAAGCGCGAAGGAGAAUGGCGAUCAGAGGUUGAAUCAUGCCCUGAUCACAGGCUUGGAGAUCGCCAUCUGGCCAAUUGGGACCUAGGGUGGCUUUGAUGAAUCGACCUCCUUUCCAAACUUCGAGGAGGCGCCUGUGGCUCUAGUUGAAGCGGCAACCGUGGGACCGAGUUCUGUAAAGGCGCUACCAGGGG
rnacentral:lncRNA from 1 species